rnacentral:rRNA from 1 species
GACGAACGCUGGCGGCGUGCCUAAUACAUGCAAGUUGAGCGCUGAAGGUUGGUACUUGUACCAACUGGAUGAGCAGCGAACGGGUGAGUAACGCGUGGGGAAUCUGCCUUUGAGCGGGGGACAACAUUUGGAAACGAAUGCUAAUACCGCAUAAAAACUUUAAACACAAGUUUUAAGUUUGAAAGAUGCAAUUGCAUCACUCAAAGAUGAUCCCGCGUUGUAUUAGCUAGUUGGUGAGGUAAAGGCUCACCAAGGCGAUGAUACAUAGCCGACCUGAGAGGGUGAUCGGCCACCUUGGGACUGAGACCCGGCCCCAACUCCUACGGGAGGCAGCAGUAGGGAAUCUUCGGCAAUGGACGAAAGUCUGACCGAGCAACGCCGCGUGAGUGAAGAAGGUUUUCGGAUCGUAAAACUCUGUUGGUAGAGAAGAACGUUGGUGAGAGUGGAAAGCUCAUCAAGUGACGGUAACUACCCAGAAAGGGACGGCUAACUACGUG